UACGAAGGGAGCUAGCGUUGUUCGGAAUCACUGGGCGUAAAGCGCACGUAGGCGGAUGUGUCAGUCAGGGGUGAAAUCCCGGAGCUCAACUUCGGAACUGCCCUUGAUACAGCACGUCUUGAGUCCGGAAGAGGUGGGUGGGAAUUCCUAGUGUAGAGGUGAAAUUCGUAGAUAUUAGGAAGAACACCGGUGGCGAAGGCGGCCCACUGGUCCGGUACUGACGCUGAGGUGCGAAAGCGUGGGGAGCAAACAGG
rnacentral:rRNA from 1 species